UACGUAGGGUGCGAGCGUUAAUCGGAAUUACUGGGCGUAAAGCGUGCGCAGGCGGUCUUGUAAGACAGGUGUGAAAUCCCCGGGCUUAACCUGGGAACUGCACUUGUGACUGCAAGGCUGGAGUACGGCAGAGGGGGAUGGAAUUCCGCGUGUAGCAGUGAAAUGCGUAGAUAUGCGGAGGAACACCGAUGGCGAAGGCAGCCCCCUGGGUCAAGAUUGACGCUCAUGCACGAAAGCGUGGGGAGCAAACAGG
rnacentral:rRNA from 1 species